rnacentral:vault_RNA from 1 species
GGGCCAGCUAUAGCCCAGCGGUUACUUCGGUGUUUCACAAGCUUGUGGCUUGCCCCAUGAGGGGUUCGAUCCUGGGGGCACCUCUGGCCCAUUU